CACAUUGCAUAUAAUAACGUGU
rnacentral:siRNA from 1 species